CCGGAUCCCGUCAGCCCCUGCGCGGCAUUACCUAUAAAAGGCGGCACCGGGCGGUGUGCGCUCUCUUUCAGGCGCUGGCUGCUGCUGUGAAAGGUUCUGCACUUGGAUGGACUGACAAGUAAUUCCAAUACCGUACCGAAUGGGGCAGUUGAUUAACACCCGUUUUGAUCUUUGACGCCAAGACUUGCCCAUGUGUAUCCAGUGGGCACACUUCCUAGAGCAUGUGGACUAGAAGGAGACGUCUUAGUCCUUACAGUUGCUCUGUUUGGUCUGGAUCUGUCAAGCUGCUCAUCACCUGGCUGCGAAGGUAUUGGUGAUUGUGCGCAGAAGAAUCUGAUACCUAGAUUAUUCCAAAGGCCUAAGUAAUGGAAGAUUUUUGACUCUAGAUGUGAACAAAUCUUUGGAUGUUGACUCUAAACCUCAGGUAUUUGGGUGAGCAGCCAUGUUCAAGAACAGGACUAAUGGAAGAUUCCUGUGACUCGAGAUGUAAAGUUUUCGGCUUUGGACCAAUCUUGCAUGCAAGGGUCAGAACUGUUAUGGCAUAGGUCUGCCAGACAGCAUGGAAACAGUUUGGUCUCUCCCUCCCCUGGCCUUCAGUUCAACUAGUUCACUGCUUCUGUUUCUAAACUAAACUAAGCCUGCUACUUGAAUCUCAAGCUGUAGGAUCCAGGAUCAUUGCAGCACCCAGAGAGUUGCACCAACUGGAAGUUCAGGAUGUUGAGUAGAUUUGGUAUUCAAAGUGACUCGGUUGAAGAAAUGGCUUCUGCAGAUGGAUAUAAAGACUACCAUUUAAAGGAAAUUCUGAACUUUGAAAAGGUGAAAGGAUGCAAUCAACAUUGGACCAAUUCUUUGUUUAUUUGUAAUCUGCAAAAUCAAAUAAAGUGGAAAUGAAGAUUCA